rnacentral:rRNA from 1 species
GCGGGAAGAGCUCAAAUUUGUAAUCUGGCACUUUCAGUGUCCGAGUUGUAAUCUCGAGAAGUAUUUUCCGCGCCGGACCGCAUACAAGUCUGUUGGAAUACAGCGUCAUAGUGGUGAGAACCCCGUAACUGAUGCGGAUGCCCGGUGCUUUGUGAUAUACUUUCGAAGAGUCGAGUUGUUUGGGAAUGCAGCUCAAAUUGGGUGGUAAAUUCCAUCUAAAGCUAAAUAUUGGAGCAAGACCGAUAGCGAACAAGUACCGUGAGGGAAAGAUGAAAAGCACUUUGGAAAGAGAGUUAACAGUACGUGAAAUUGUUGGAAGGGAAACGCUUGAAGUCAGACUUGCUAUUCGGAGUUCAGCCGCAAGGUGUAUUCUUCGAUUUGCAGGCCAGCAUCAGUUUUUGGGGGUGGAAAAUCGUGGUUUGAAGGUAGCAGUUUCGGCUGUGUUAUAGCUUUCCACUGGAUUCAUCUUCGGGGACUGAGGAACGCAGUACGCUUUUUGCAAGGCUUUCGAGCUUUUCGUACUUAGGAUGCUGGUGGAAUGGCUUUAAACGACCCGUCUUGAAACACGG